rnacentral:rRNA from 1 species
GACAGAGGUGCCAAGCGUUAGGCGGAAUCACUGGGCUUAAAGCGUGUGUAGGCGGGUUUGUAAGUACCUUGUGAAAUCCCAUGGCUCAACCAUGGAACUGCUCGGUAUACUGCGAAUCUUGAGCCACUUAGGGGCUACCGGAACAAAUGGUGGAGCGGUGAAAUGCGUAGAUAUCAUUUGGAACGCCAAUGGUGAAAACAGGUAGCUGGGAGUGUGCUGACGCUGAGACACGAAAGCCAGGGGGGCGAACGGG